UUGUAGGAGAGCGCUCCUGUUAAACGCGCGUGGUUCCGCCCCUAAGUCAUCAACGGUCGUUUCUCUUGUCUCGGAAGCAGAUAAAGGCUUUUGUCUUAAUAAAAGCAAACAUGAGUGGGCUUUUUUCUGGACUGCUGAGAGCUCUACGGGCUCUUGCUCCCAGAGCAGAUGUGGCGAUUCAACGAGCCCGUUAUAUCCAUGGCCGACAACCUAAAGAUAACAUUGGGCUGGCGGAAUCUAUGUUCGUGUUGACUGUGUUGACUGUGACCGUCCUCGGACCUUCUGGUUGGAUACUUGCCCACUUGGACUAUUAUAAAACCCGGGGCUGAGAAACACG